rnacentral:lncRNA from 1 species
GACGGAGCGAGUGUGGAAGUCAACUCAUAAAUAAAUAAAUAAAAACAUGAUUGUCGGAGACGUUGCCUUCUAGAUUAAAUACAUGAGAGGUCAAUAGAACUAUAUAUUAAAUGGUGGAACUACAAAUCAAGUAGCCUCGUAUGUAGCAAGAAGCUCUUUAGGUUGGUGAAAUGAGACUGUAUAGAACCCUUUGAAACUUAUUAUUUUUUAACUGUUUCUUUAUGUAUUUGUACUGCAUAAGCCAUCUGGUAAAAAAGAACUUGGAGAUGAAAUAGGAGUGUUUUUAAAAAAGCUAGGAUGAGAAAUACCGGGGAUUCGAAUAUGAGUCAUUGUAUUAAAACUUAUUACUAUCCAGAAAUUGAUCAUGAUUUAUAUGAAUCUGUAUUUUCUUCACUCAACCAUAUUGGUAUUUUUAAUUUAGAUAUCUUUAAUUUUUUUUUAUCUGCAUUGCAUUUUUAUUGCAAUGUUGCACUACCUUUCAGUCAUCACUAUAUUUAUCGUUUUACACUAUUACAUGCCGUUAUAAUGUGAUUUGCUGCUAUAGAUUUCUGGCAGGAAGAUUCUGUUUUUGUUUAGAUGAUUUACAAUUGAUUAUAUAGAUGAUAGGGGUGUGAAUUGCACAGGAAAGACCUGCUACCAUCGAUUUCUAGCAGUAAAAUUCCUAGAUUUCUAGCAGGGUGGUGCAUAAAAAUGAUGAUCAACUCCUUAUUUUCCUGUAUGACUCAAGAUAAAUUCAUUAAUACUGGUAGAAAGGAGCUGGGGAUUUGGACGUCGGUCAAAGAAGCAAACUAAAAGUACAUGAUGUUACAUCUUGAUGUGCAAAAUAGAUUAAAAAGAUAGCAAAAGCAAUAAUCUAUUCAUAAAAAUCAAAUUAAAGCAAUGCAAAUAUAGAGAUAGAGGGGAAUGUGAACCAAAUUUACAUUUGUAGGAGGCG